ACGAACGCUGGCGGCGUGCUUAACACAUGCAAGUCGAACGAAGAGCGAUGGAAGCUUGCUUCUAUCAAUCUUAGUGGCGAACGGGUGAGUAACGCGUAAUCAACCUGCCCUUCAGAGGGGGACAACAGUUGGAAACGACUGCUAAUACCGCAUACGAUCUAAUCUCGGCAUCGAGGAUAGAUGAAAGGUGGCCUCUACAUGUAAGCUAUCACUGAAGGAGGGGAUUGCGUCUGAUUAGCUAGUUGGAGGGGUAACGGCCCACCAAGGCGAUGAUCAGUAGCCGGUCUGAGAGGAUGAGCGGCCACAUUGGGACUGAGACACGGCCCAGACUCCUACGGGAGGCAGCAGUGGGGAAUCUUCCGCAAUGGACGAAAGUCUGACGAAGCAACGCCGCGUGAGGGAUGACGGCCGUCGGGUUGUAGAGCUCUGUUAAUCGGGACGAAAGGGCUUCUUGCGAAUAGUGAGAAGGAUUGACGGUACCGGAAAAGAAAGCCACGGCUAACUACGUG
rnacentral:rRNA from 1 species